rnacentral:rRNA from 1 species
UGUGCUUGCACAGCCUAGCCAAGGCGGACGGGUGAGUAACGCGUAAGGAACUUGCCCUGCAGUCAGGGAUAACAGACGGAAACGACUGAUAAGACCUGGUAAAGUCAGGCGGACUCAUGUCCAGCCUGAUGAAAAGUGAUGCUGCAGGAGAGCCUUGCGUCCUAUUAGCUUGUUGGUGGGGUAACGGCCCACCAAGGCGAUGAUAGGUAGCCGGCCUGAGAGGGUGGACGGCCACAAGGGGACUGAGAUACGGCCCUUACUCCUACGGGAAGGCAGCAGUGGGGAAUAUUGGACAAUGGGGGCAACCCUGAUCCAGCAAUUCUGUGUGCACGAUGAAGGUUUUCGGAUUGUAAAGUGCUUUCAGCAGGGAAGAAAAAAUGACGGUACCUGCAGAAGAAGCGACGGCUAAAUACGUGCCAGCAGCCGCGGUAAUACGUAUGUCGCAAGCGUUAUCCGGAAUUAUUGGGCAUAAAGGGCAUCUAGGCGGCCAGAUAAGUCUGGGGUGAAAACUUGCGGCUCAACCGCAAGCCUGCCCUGGAAACUAUGUGGCUAGAGUACUGGAGAGGUGGACGGAACUGCACGAGUAGAGGUGAAAUUCGUAGAUAUGUGCAGGAAUGCCGAUGAUGAAGAUAGUUCACUGGACGGUAACUGACGCUGAAGUGCGAAAGCUAGGGGAGCAAACAGGAUUAGAUAUCCCUGGUAGUCCUACGCUGUAAACGAUGAUUACUGGGUGUGGGCAUGAAGAGUGUCCG